GCGAAUCUAGUAAAGACAGAAGGAGUUUGGGUCUUGAGACAAGCUCAUUAGCACUCAUUCCGUUUGGGUGAAAUCAAUUAGGGCUAACUGGAAGGUACAGCCUCUGCUCUCUGUUGACUCUUGAAAUGAGAGACUGAUGGUGGCUACCAGUUAUCAUGGAGGCGUGCUCAGGGGCAAAGACACUGAUGACAGAGUCUAGGCUGUGAAUCCUGCCCCUGCUGCUCUGUGGCCAGUUGCUUGGUUGGAGGACUCCGCAGGGUUCUGGAGGGUGACUGUGUGUGUCACCUAAGACCCCUGUGGGUCUCAGGCAACUUAGAACGGACCGGGCCUUGCAGGUUCCACCCGGCCUGACUGCCCAGUCCUGCGCCAGAGAACGACCGGGCGACGUGCCCAGUGACGGCACAAAGGAAGAGCCUCACACCCCGGGUUACACCCAGGGUUACGCAGAGGAGCAUGACACUGUGACCUUGUCUUCGGUGCUUUUGCCAUCUGCUGGGUGCUGCCUACUAGACUACAAGCUCAGUGCGGGAGGCCUUUUUUUCUCUCUUCUUGUUUCCACUGUGCUUGAGUGGGUUACCUGAGGUUGGCUGACAGAUAUGUCUGGACCCUCCAGGACUGGACACGUCAGUGGGAGUUAGAAGCCCAGCAAGAGGAAACCAAGGCAUUAGGAAGAGUACGUUUUAGGAUCAGGUAAAAACUAGCUGCCAGUACAGGGAGGGAAGCCUUGGUUUUCCCAUCUGUGGAAUGAGGCGAUGAGGCAUGAGGUCGUGCACCUAAGUGCUUAGCAGAAUUCUCGGCACAUAGCUCCCAUCGGAGUGAGUGCAUAGCGCUUCUACAACCACCCCCGGCGCCUUGCAUGGUUCUUCAUGUCUCAGUGGGAACUUUUACAUUUUUUUUUUACUGUGACCCGCACCACAACCUUCUAAUGUGUGUGCAUGUCUCUUUAAAUAUAACCGAACUAUAAAUUUUGUGAACUAAGACCCUUACUAUGUGUGAUGAACUUUGACGGUUUGCAUUGUGUUCAGUUUUGUUGAAACACUCCUGAAGGGGCAAAGGGUUACUUUCUGGGGUGAUGGACAUAUUCUGUAUUUUGAUGAAGGUGGUGGUGGCAUGGAUGUCUUUGCCCAAAAUCGUUGAACUCUAUAUUAAAAUGGGUGCCUUCUAUUGCGUGUCAGUUAGAUCUCAGUAGAUUUGCAACCCUCUAACUUUUAUUGAGAUACAAUUCACAUUUCACAAAACUCACCCUUUUAAAGUGGAUACUUAAGUGAUUUUUAGUAUAGUCACAGAGCAACUGUGACCACAGUCCAAGGUCAGAACAUUUUCAUUACUCCAGGAAGAAGCCCCGUACCCAUUAACAGUCACUUCCCAUCCCCCCAACCCUAGUCCCUGGCAACCACUAAUCUACUUUCUGUCUCUGUGGAUUCGCUGGUUUCAGUCUUGCGUGGCCGGGAGAGCAGCCUUUGAAGUUAGACUGGUUACUGGGCCUCUCAGGGGCCACCACUCACCACAACUGGGAUUUCUCUAUUUGGUCCUGGCACUGGGUGGUGAACUCCAAGAGCAUCAGAGACGCUGGCAGAUGACUCACAUCCUGUGUCCCCACCUCCUUCCUACACAGACCCCAGGCCUGUUCAGUCCUCCGGAAGUGCCCCCUUGCUCUCCUGGUGAAGAUCUGGACGAUGAUGCACCAGUGAAGGAGUGGAGAAUGGACUUUCCAAAGUCCAUGGGCAAACCCAUCACAGAAAUGCAAAGAAGUGAUACAUUCACAUAGAAAAUCUUCCCAUUCUUGCCCUCAUCUGCAGAGACACCCUCUCCACAUGCUGCAG